UGUGUUUCCACCCUCAGAGAAGCAGCCAAGAUGCAGGAAAACAGGAAAAAAAAACACAGGAAAAACGCAGGAAAAUGCAGGAAAAACGCAGGAAAAAGGCAGAUAAUGGUGAGAAAAAUGCCAAGCAAAGCAAAAAAGCGAUUCUGAGGGCCAGGGUUUGACCAAAACCGGCCAAUCUGCACCCAAAGCGGGAGCUUGGCCCAGCGCCCCUCGGGGCCAAAGGCAGUGAUGUGGUACCGCGGCACCGGGCGGAAAUGCCGUGCUGGGAGGCAGCUUGGAAGAACCCCCCCUUUUCCCCCCCAAAACGGAGCUGGAAAAUGAGGACUUUCAUCCCGAGUAGCUUCAGGAGCUUCCCAUAGGAAAAACUAACGUAAAACCCCCCCAAAACGCCGGUGGAAGGUGGGGGGGGGGGGGGGGAAGGCACAAAACUGGUUUUUGGCUUCUCUCUGUUGCCAGGGUGCGGAUUUGGGGGUUUUGGGGCGUUUUCGGCUGUUUUUGGUGUCAUGGAGGGGGGUUGGGACUUGGUUGUGCCGUUGGUGGGAACGCUGCCCCCCCCCGCCCCCCCAUUACACCACGUGGCAUGUUUGCCCCCCCCCCAUCCCACCACCCCCCCCCAUCCCGGCGCGGCGAAACAAUGGGAUUUGGGCUGAAAUGGCUCCAAACGGAGCGGGUUUGGCUGCUUUAACCCCCAAAUCGGGGCGGGGGGGGGUGUUGUGUCUCGUGGGUGUUUCUUCCAGACCCCCCCAUUCCAGUGUUGAGGAUUCACAGCCGCCAACAGCCACAUUGGGGCAAAAAAGCCCCAAAAAGGGUCUGCAGGAACACAUAGGGAGAAAAACUAGCACCAAAAAAGGGUAUUUUUGCUGCUUCCCCCCCCCCAAAAAUGAGACAUUCCGCAGUGGGACGCGCUGGGCUUCGCUGCUUUCCCCCCAAAUUCCGCUCCCCCCCCCCCAAAGGGCCCACUUGGAGGGAGAUUGAACCAAAAUGUGGCUUUUCCCCCCCAAAUCCUGCCGCGUGUCGCUCGGGGGGGGGGAGGGGGGAGGCUCUUUUUAACCGUUUUCCCAGUUUUUCCCCCCAAACGCCAGGAGUUGAGGAGGAGCCGCAGAGGUUUUGGGGAGGGAGGAGCUCAGAGGCUCCCGCUAUUCCCGGUGCUGGUCCCGGUGCUGGUGUCCCCCCCCCCCCUUCUCCACCCCCCCGCAGUGACUGUGCCAAAACUGCCUCGAUUGGCCCCAAAAUGGCUAAAACCAAGACCCUCCCCCCCCGGCCCCCCGGCAGGAGCUCCCACCCCAAAUCCCGCUUUCUGAGCCCAUUUUGCGCCUGGGAAGGCCCCCCCCCGCCCCCCCCCGCCUGUUUUGCGAUGGGGGCGCGUGACCUUGCCCCCAAACCCCCCAUUUCUCACCCCAUUUUGGGACCGAAGGGGACACGAUCCUGACCCAAACCCCACUUUGUGACCCCGUUUUGCACCAGGGGAGUGCGAUCCUGACCCGACCCCCCCAGUUCUCACCCCGUUCCCCCCCCCCCAAAAUCCUGUUUAUUCCGGUUAAAACAGCCCCAACCCACCCCCCCCCCCGCCGCGGUUUUGGCGGCGGUUCCCAUGGGGGGGCGCUGAUUUGUUGUGGUUUUUUGCCCCCA
rnacentral:lncRNA from 1 species